GAGAGCACCUGCCUUACAAGCAGGGGGUCACAGGUUCGAUCCCUGUAUCGUCCA
rfam:Weissella viridescens strain DSM 20410 Scaffold8, whole genome shotgun sequence.